rnacentral:rRNA from 1 species
AUGCUCCGCCAUCUUCAGCGUGUUGGGGCACAAGUGCUGGCCGCCCUCUGGCCCGGCGAGGUGGUUCCCCGUACCCCCAGUCGGACUGCUGACUGGCUGGAGGUAGCGGUUGGCCGCUUCGAGGCCUGGAAGGCUUCUGCAGCUCGGUCAGGCGCCAGGCGGGCGCUGGAGUUCGUCCGAGCUUGGUAUCCUGGGCUGGAUUUGGCCCAGCUGACCACCUGGCGGCAGGAGGCCAACGAGGAGCUGGAGGCGGUGCGGCCGGCUAUCAUCCAGCGCGCCUCGGCGAUCGCCGACUACACCGACACCAGUGCCUUUACCCCUGAGGUGAAUGAUGACGGCGUUGCUCAGCCGGAGGAGUGGUUUGGGUUGAACCCAGCGGAUGGUGAAGACUCAGCGGAGGAGAUCGACUCAAGUGACGAGGGCGAGGAGGAGGAGGGAGAGGAUGGUGAAGACGCAGUGCCAGACGGUGGAGCAACCGGCCAGCCUCAGCUUGAUCGUGCCUCCAGCAACGAGGCACGUGCGAGCGCGCUGCCUGCAGCCGGUGAUGAUCAAGCCGAGACUCGCCAGCCGGCCACUCCUCCAGCCAGCACUGCCGUCUCCACUGACCUUCCUGGCUCGCCUGUUGCACCUUUGGCCUGA